CCUACGGGAGGCAGCAGUGAGGAAUAUUGGUCAAUGGACGAGAGUCUGAACCAGCCAAGUAGCGUGAAGGAUGACUGCCCUAUGGGUUGUAAACUUCUUUUAUAUGGGAAUAAAAUGUUCCCCGUGUGGGAUUUUGUAUGUACCAUAUUAAUAAGGAUCGUCUAACUCCGUGCCAGCAGCCGCGGUAAUACGGAGGAUCCGAGCGUUAUCCGGAUUUAUUGGGUUUAAAGGGAGCGUAGGUGGAUUGUUAAGUCAGUUGUGAAAGUUUGCGGCUCAACCGUAAAAUUGCAGUUGAAACUGGCAGUCGUGAGUACAGUAGAGGUGGGCGGAAUUCGUGGUGUAGCGGUGAAAUGCUUAGAUAUCACGAAGAACUCCGAUUGCGAAGGCAGCUCACUGGACUGCAACUGACACUGAGGCUCGAAAGUGUGGGUAUCAAACAGGAUUAGAUACCCCAGUAGUC
rnacentral:rRNA from 1 species